ACCUCUGUAAGUGUAACUUGGGUGCAACAUAACAUUUGCUAUCGAAACUCUUUCGCCUUAGUUUGGUGGUGCACGGGACUGACACUGAGGCUGUUUUCAGGAGGGGACAGAGCAGACUCUACUUCUUGAGGAAGCUAUAAAGGUUCUUUUAAAGUGUGCAACAAGAUGUUGCAUAUUUAUUUACCAGUGUGUCGUUGCAAGUACAACUUUCUUCGCAGCCAUCUGUUGGGGCAGGAGCAUCAGAGUCACUGACAAAAAGAAGCUGAACACGAGCUGGCUCUGUGCUGGGGACUCUGCCCUUGAGCCUCUCCAGUUGGUUUUGGAGAGAAUGAUGUUGCACAAACUGCUCAAAAUUAUGGAUAACACUUCAUAUUGUCUGCACGAACUGCAGACUCAGACAUAAAAGAGACUCCUACAUCUUCGCAGUAACAAGGGCCGCUACAGGAAGUAAUUUCUGCCCACUGCAAUUAAUAUAUACAAUGACUCCCCUCUGGGCAGGGAGAGGAGACUUCCUCUGAAUGACAAUGUACACUCAUAUAGAUAUAGUCAGAGACAUAUCUUUUAAGCCUUUUUUUCAUUCUAGAAUAGUAGUUUGACUUAAUAUGCAUUUGUAAAUUUGUUAAAUGUAUUUUAUUUUAGCCUACCUCAUGCAUGUUUCGUGUAAGUUGUGUAUGUUCUAUAACUGAUCCAUGCAUGCAUGCGUGGCAGAUGUAAAACUGCUUUGUUAUGGCUCUGCACUGGAUGAUAAUGACAUCCUCCCUCUCAUAACUACAUGUGGACAUGAAUUGAUAGUAUAUAAUGACAAAAAUAAUCCCACAAUAAUUAUUUAUAAUUUAUGUUAUAAGAAAAGUUGUUUUUAAAAAACUGAAAGUU